CCCCUCUCCGGCUCGCACCUGGAGAGUUUCCAGUCCUCCACCAGUUUCGACUAUGGGAGGGAGAGUCUAGCAGGGGUCUGUCCAUUCCAUUCCUAGCUUGGCCCGUGGCUAAUGAGUGCAAGGCAACCUGCGACAAGU